UACGGAGGGUGCAAGCGUUAUCCGGAUUCACUGGGUUUAAAGGGUGCGUAGGCGGCUUUAUAAGUCGGGGGUGAAAGCCUGUGGCUCAACCACAGAAUUGCCUUCGAUACUGUAGAGCUUGAGACCGGAAGAGGUAAGUGGAACUGCGAGUGUAGAGGUGAAAUUCGUAGAUAUUCGCAAGAACACCUGAGGCGAAGGCGGGUUGCUGGGCCGACACUGACGCUGAGGCGCGAAAGCCAGGGGAGCAAACGGG
rnacentral:rRNA from 1 species